rnacentral:lncRNA from 1 species
AUUGUAGCUUCCAUUUCCAUGGGUCUUCUUCUCAUUUUCCCUAAUAAAGUUUCAACUUUACAGUUAAGUUAAAAAGAGCACCAUAAACUGCUAAGCAAGAGAGAGAAAUAACUAUUUCUUCUGAUGCUGCUGGAGAUCCGGGUAGUCCGGGAAAGGAUGUCAGUUAAUGAUUUCCCUCCUCAGUGCAGCCUGAAUCCCGUCUGCAGCUCCCUCGUGGUAUGAUUCCACGAAGCACUGGAAAAUUAAGGAGGAAAUCUACUGCCAUUCUUCAACUCCUGACACGUUUAUGGAAGCCCCAGUCCACACUAGACAGAGUGAUCGGGUCUGCUGGUACAGUUUCUGCUAGCAGGGGCCUUACCCUCCAGUUUAAAAGAUAGGAGAGGAGAAGAGACACUCUGAGGCAGCCGAACCUGCAGAAUGCCAUGUGAAGACAAAGGCAGACACUGGAGUAGUGUCUACCAGCCAAGGCAUGUCAACGGUUUCCAGCAACACCAGAAGCUGAGAGAAGGUAAUAGAAUGCUUCUUUCCUUAGUGAGACCAUGGCCCUGAUUUCAGACUUCCAGCCUUCUGUGACAGAAUGAAUUUCUGUUGUGUUGAGCCACUAAGUUUGUGGUACAUUUUUAUAGCACCCAGAGGAAACUUAUACAACUGGGUUCUAAUAGCUCAGUUAAGUAAAACAGAGUGAAAACAUCUAAACUGAAAAAUCAAGAUGUCUCCCCACUCACAUAUUUAAUCUAAAAUUUGGGGUAUGCAAAAAAGAGUUAGCAGACUUGAGACUGCCAUCCUUAUAAAGGUCUGUUUGCAACUUUGGCCUUUGUCUGGCAUUUGGGAACUUAGCUCUUGGAAUGUUCCCAGGCAACAUUUAACUGAUAAGGCUGGCUGACUCUGCCUACAUUAUUUGUGUAAACAAUAUGGUUAAUGGGGUACAUAUCGUUUUUGCCAAACACCUCCUUUCCUCUGGGAAUCUGGAAUUUUGGUACCUGCUAGACAAAGGGUGCCUCUGUGACCAGUCCCCACUGAAAACCUCGGCAGCUGAAUCUCUGAUAGGCUUCCGUGAGUAGAGCAAUUGUACGUACGUUGCUGCAUUUUUGUUGAUGGAAGAAAAGGACGCUCUGUGUGAUUCCUCAUGGGAGGGAAUGAACAUAAAGAAGCCUUCACGUGGAUUUAUCCAGACUUUAUACCCAUGCCAUUUUCUCUUAAGAUCUGGAUGUGUAUCCUUAAAAUAUCACCGUAAUAAAUCUUAGCUAUGUGUACAGCUGUAUGCUGAAUACCUUAAAUUCUUCCAGCAAGUCUCUGAACAUAGGAGUGGUGAUGGG